rnacentral:rRNA from 1 species
AACGAACGCUGGCGGCAGGCCUAACACAUGCAAGUCGAGCGCCCCGCAAGGGGCGCGGCAGACGGGUGAGUAACGCGUGGGAAUCUACCUAUCUCUACGGAACAACUCCGGGAAACUGGAGCUAAUACCGUAUACGCCCUUCGGGGGAAAGAUUUAUCGGGGAUAGAUGAGCCCGCGUUGGAUUAGCUAGUUGGUGGGGUAAUGGCCUACCAAGGCAACGAUCCAUAGCUGGUCUGAGAGGAUGAUCAGCCACACUGGGACCGAGACACGGCCCAGUCUCCUACGGGAGGCAGCAGUGGGGAAUAUUGGACAAUGGGCGAAAGCCUGAUCCAGCCAUGCCGCGUGAGUGAUGAAGGCCCCAGGGUUGUAAAGCUCUUUCACCGGUGAAGAUAAUGACGGUAACCGGAGAAGAAGCCCCGGCUAACUUCGUGCCAGCCGCCGCGGUAAGAC